rnacentral:rRNA from 1 species
GAUGAACGCUGGCGGCGUGCCUAAUACAUGCAAGUCGAACGCUGGAAUAUGUGCUUGCACAUAUGAAAGAGUGGCGAACGGGUGAGUAAUACAUAAGCAAUCUGCCCAUUAGACUGGGAUAACUAUUGGAAACGAUAGCUAAUACCGGAUAGGUAAGUUUGAGGCAUCUCGAACUUAUUAAAGUUUAGAUACACUAAUGGAUGAGCUUAUGGCGUAUUAGCUAGUUGGUAAGGUAAUGGCUUACCAAGGCAGUGAUACGUAGCCGGCCUGAGAGGGCGAACGGCCACAUUGGGACUGAGACACGGCCCAAACUUCUACGGAAGGCAGCGAGUAGGUA